AUUGAACGUUGGCGGCGUGGAUGAGGCAUGCAAGUCGAACGCGAAAGCCGCAAGGCGAGUAAAGUGGCGGACGGGCGAGUAACACGUAAUCAAGCUACCUGCGAGACGGGGAUAACUUCGGGAAACCGAAGCUAAGACCCGAUGGUCUUCUAGGAACGCAUGUUCCAUGAAGUAAAUGGGCGGGAUCCUCCGGGAUCGCCUGCUCGCAGAGGUGAUUGCGGCCCAUCAGCUAGUUGGUAGGGUAAUGGCCUACCAAGGCAACGACGGGUAGCCGGCCUUAGAGGGUGGUCGGCCGCACUGGGACUGAGACACUGCCCAGACUCCUACGGGAGGCUGCAGUCGAGAAUCUUCCGCAAUGGGCGAAAGCCUGACGGAGCGACGCCGCGUGGAGGAUGAAGGCCUCGGUUG
rnacentral:rRNA from 1 species